rnacentral:snRNA from 1 species
AUUAUUUGAACUCCCGGAGCUCUGGCCAGGGUUGAUUCGGCUGAUCUGGCUGGCUAGGCGGGUGUCCCCUUCCUCCCUUACUGUUCCAUGUGCGUCCCUCCCGAAGGUGUGUGCUCGAUCGAAGAGGACGACCUUCCUCGAAUAGAGGAGGACCAGUCUCCGGUCAAGGGUAUACAAGUAGCUGCACUCCUCUGCUAGAACCUCCAAACAAGCUCUCAGACAACUUCUUAGAGGCAUCUGUAUUAAACAGUUCCUCUGGUGGAGCAGAAGAUUUUUCUUUUCUUGAUUUAGGUAACAUCUUCUGUCUGUCAGGAUGA